rnacentral:rRNA from 1 species
UACGUAGGGCGCAAGCGUUAUCCGGAAUUAUUGGGCGUAAAGCGCGCGCGGGUGGUUUCUUAAGUCUGAUGUGAAAGCCCACGGCUCAACCGUGGAGGGUCAUUGGAAACUGGGAGACUUGAGUGCAGAAGAGGAAAGUGGAAUUCCAUGUGUAGCGGUGAAAUGCGUAGAGAUAUGGAGGAACACCAGUGGCGAAGGCGACUUUCUGGUCUGUAACUGACACUGAGGCGCGAAAGCGUGGGGAGCAAACAGG